AUUUAAUGAUUCGAAUUUAAUCGUCAUUAUUUCAGCCAUCAUGAAAUCCAUCCUUGUUGCCGCUCUUGCUCUGGCCUGCGUGCUCGGACUCGCAACCGCCAAUUACGGAUACUACCCCAGUACUGGUGGCUCCGGUCUUGGUGGACAGUCAGGACUGAUGAUGUUGUUGCUCCUCUUCUUCCUCCUCUUCUUCCUCAACAACAACAACACCAGCAGCAGUGGUACCAUCACCAUCACAAACGCUUCCGCUACCGGUUAAAUAAAUGAUAAUUAAAAGAACAAGACAUAGCAUCGAAUCCUCCAGGAUGUUUCUGCAAAGCUCUGAUAACAUUUAUUUAUAUAUUGUUAUCUGUUGUUAAGUUUUUAAAUAAAAAAAGUAAAAAGAAA